GGAUCAUCGUGCUUCAAUCAGUAACUUUCUUUCUCAAUUGACUAAUUUUGUAUCUCAACAUAUACCAGUAGUGGGAAUUCAUUUUUUCCCAUGUUAUAAGUGUUCAAUACAACCUGAGUUGUUUGAAGAAAUAAAGAAUUGGUAGACACUGCAGCUCCACUACCUCAUAGCUUUCAUCAACCACACUUCUGCAUUUCCUUAUAUUAAGGUCAUGCACUUGGCCAUUACAUACAACUAUACUCAACAACAACAAACACUUAGCGGGCACCAUUUUUGAUUUUUCAGUUUUUUCUCUGUGAAUCGUCUGCGCAUGUGCACAUAAUCAACAGUUUAAUUAAAAAUAAAAAGGCGGGAGAUUAUAAUGAUUGUGUCAAAAAAAAAGAACAAUACGAAAAAGAAUAAAUAUGAAAGAAUUGAGAUGUUGCUAUAUGAUCUUCAACAAUAGUAUAACUCGAAAAAAGGGGGAACGGAAACACAUAUAAUAAGAAAAAUAUUAGGUACGAGACAAUGACGCUCAAAAAAAAAUUUCAGAAAAAAAAUCGAAUGUUUUGGGUUUUUUUUUUACAAUGUAGCUGCUUUAGAUAAAGAUUUUAAGUUAAGAAACCCAAAAAUAAAGCAGAUGACAUAUUAUCACAGUAUAGUUUCUAGAGAUUCAUCAACACGUUGUUUUGUUGUUAAGCGCAUUUUUGUUUGCGCACCACAUAAACAAUUUGGUAUAGAGUUGUUAUAUGAAACCUAAGAAUGGGGUGGUUAUCCCUCCAUUAGUCCCACCCC
rnacentral:lncRNA from 1 species